AUUGAACGCUGGCGGCAGGCUUAACACAUGCAAGUCGAGCGGAGAUGAGGUGCUUGCACCUUAUCUUAGCGGCGGACGGGUGAGUAAUGCUUAGGAAUCUGCCUAUUAGUGGGGGACAACAUUCCGAAAGGAGUGCUAAUACCGCAUACGCCCUACGGGGGAAAGCAGGGGAUCUUCGGACCUUGCGCUAAUAGAUGAGCCUAAGUCGGAUUAGCUAGUUGGUGGGGUAAAGGCCUACCAAGGCGACGAUCUGUAGCGGGUCUGAGAGGAUGAUCCGCCACACUGGGACUGAGACACGGCCCAGACUCCUACGGGAGGCAGCAGUGGGGAAUAUUGGACAAUGGGCGGAAGCCUGAUCCAGCCAUGCCGCGUGUGUGAAGAAGGCCUUCGGGUUGUAAAGCACUUUCAGUAGGGAGGAGGCUACCGAGAUUAAUACUCUUGGAUAGUGGACGUUACUCGCAGAAUAAGCACCGGCUAACUCUGUGCCAGCAGCCGCCGUAACAC
rnacentral:rRNA from 1 species